GGGGAAGUAUUGCACAAUGGGCGCAAGCCUGAUGCAGCCAUGCCGCGUGUAUGAAGAAGGCCCUAGGGUUGUAAAGUACUUUCAGUCGGGAGGAAGGCGUUGAUGCUAAUAUCAUCAACGAUUGACGUUACCGACAGAAGAAGCACCGGCUAACUCCGUGCCAGCAGCCGCGGUAAUACGGAGGGUGCAAGCGUUAAUCGGAAUUACUGGGCGUAAAGCGCACGCAGGCGGUUGAUUAAGUUAGAUGUGAAAUCCCCGGGCUUAACCUGGGAAUGGCAUCUAAGACUGGUCAGCUAGAGUCUUGUAGAGGGGGGUAGAAUUCCAUGUGUAGCGGUGAAAUGCGUAGAGAUGUGGAGGAAUACCGGUGGCGAAGGCGGCCCCCUGGACAAAGACUGACGCUCAGGU
rnacentral:rRNA from 1 species